rnacentral:rRNA from 1 species
UACGGGGGGGGCAAGCGUUGUUCGGAAUUACUGGGCGUAAAGGGCUCGUAGGCGGCCAACUAAGUCAGACGUGAAAUCCCUCGGCUUAACCGGGGAACUGCGUCUGAUACUGGAUGGCUUGAGAUUGGGAGAGGGAUGCGGAAUUCCCGGUGUAGCGGUGAAAUGCGUAGAGAUCGGGAAGAACAUCGGUGGCGAAGGCGCUCUACUGGACCACAACUGACACUCAGGGACGAAAGCUAGGGGAGCGAAUGGG